rnacentral:misc_RNA from 1 species
UACAGAGACCUCAAGCGUUAUCCGGAUUUAUUGGGCGUAAAGCGUCUGUAGGUGGUUUGGAAAGUCAGUCGUCAAAUCUCGGUGCUCAACAUCGAGGCCGCGUCUGAAACUACCUGACUAGAGGAUGGGAGAGGCAGAUGGAAUCGCCGGUGUAGGGGUAAAAUCCGUUAAUAUCGGCGAGAACACCAAAUGCGAAAGCGUUCUGCUGGAACAUUCCUGACACUGAGAGACGAAAGCGUGGGGAGCGAAUGGG